rnacentral:rRNA from 1 species
UACGGAGGGUGCGAGCGUUAUCCGGAAUUACUGGGUUUAAAGGGUGCGUAGGCGGCUAUGUAAGUCAGAUAGUGAAAGUUUGCGGCUCAACCGUAAAAUUGCUUUUGAUACUGCAUAGCUAGAAUUAGGAUGAGGUUAGCGGAAUGUGGCAUGUAGCGGUGAAAUGCAUAGAUAUGCCAUAGAACACCAAUUGCGAAGGCAGCUGGCUAGACCUAUAUUGACGCUGAGGCACGAAAGCGUGGGGAUCGAACAGG